rnacentral:rRNA from 1 species
UACAGAGGUCUCAAGCGUUGCUCGGAAUUAUUGGGCGUAAAGCGCGCGUAGGCGGCUACCUAAGUCGGAUGUGAAAGCCCCUGGCUUAACCGGGGAAGUGCACCCGAAACUGGGUAGCUAGAGUGCAAAAGAGGGUCGCGGAAUUCCCAGUGUAGAGGUGAAAUUCGUAGAUAUUGGGAGGAACACCGGUGGCGAAGGCGGCGACCUGGGUUGACACUGACGCUGAGGCGCGAAAGCGUGGGGAGCAAACAGG